GCAAGGGGAACAAAGGCUAAAAGCGUCACAUCCUGUGACAUCGCCUUUGUGACCAACAUCGUGUUGC
rnacentral:sRNA from 1 species